UACGGAGGAUGCGAGCGUUAUCCGGAUUUAUUGGGUUUAAAGGGUGCGCAGGCGGAUUUUAAGUCAGCGGUCAAAUCGUGGGGCUCAACCCCAUCCAGCCGUUGAAACUGGGGAUCUAGAGUGUGCGAGAGGUAUGCGGAAUGCGUGGUGUAGCGGUGAAAUGCAUAGAUAUCACGCAGAACCCCGAUUGCGAAGGCAGCAUACCGGUGCACAACUGACGCUCAGGCACGAAAGCGUGGGUAUCGAACAGG
rnacentral:rRNA from 1 species